CAGGAAUGAUCCUGCCUUGUGUAGGGAGCUAGACUAGAUGACCUUGUGAGGUCCCUUGCAGCCCUGCUUUCCUAUAGUCCUAUACUCCAUUCUUGCCCUUCAUCCUCAAUGCUCAGGACUGAGGGGAUAUAUUCAAUGUAUGCAUCCUACUCCUCAGUUUCUUCUCAACUGCAGAGCUCCUAUUGAUAUGACUUAAGGAAGAAGAAAAAGAAGGGUGACUGUGAGUGUGGACAAUGCAUCUUGAAGAACUUCAGUAACCUCCUUUUUUUAUUAGAGUAACUGUCCACACACACAUUUUCCUACGUAGGGGACUCCAAAGCAUAAUUCACCAUCAUUUGGAGGUAAAUCUUGGAAUUCCCUAAGUGAAAAAAAGAUGUGCUCUAGCAGCAUCACCCCAUGAAAUCUCCCUCACUGCACAAUGCUUAGCAAAGGCUUGGAUUGUACUUCACACUGCUGUCUUACAGAUGUCUGUUAGACAAACCCCAUGCAAGAAAGCUACAGACAUAGCCUCAAGUGCAGUGGACCAAAGCAAAUGGUGACUCCACCUUGGCAGUCUCAUAACACAAUUAAGUACAAUCUGAGAUCUAGCCUGACAGUCUCUGGGGACAAAUUGCUGUGCCUUUCAAUCUUUUGCCUAUGGCUACUAUCACAAGAGGGCAACAGGCAGCUGGGCCUAGCAGUUAGGUUUGGGGUCAGUAACCUGACUCCAGACCCACAUGUCAAGGCAGUCUGGAGCUGGUGGUCAAACCAGAAUCCAGAUGUGGUCAGGAGCAGGUGACAGACAGCAACA